AUGGGGGGCGGCCCCGGUUGUGCUGUGGAGAACCCGUCUGAUUUGCAUUUGCUGCUUGUUGCUGCCCAAGGUUGUGCUGUGGAGAACCCACCUGAUUUGCGUUUGCUGCUUGUUGCUGGCCCGGGUUAUGCUGGGGAGAACCCACCUGAUUUGCAUUUGCAUUUGCUGCUUGUUGCUGGACCAGGUUAUGCUGGGGAGAACCCGCCUGAUUUGUGUAUGCUGCUUGUUGCUGGCCUAAGUUGUGCUGUGGAGAACCCACCUGAUUUGCAUUUUCUCCUUGCAUAUAACUUUGAGCACCUGCCAUGCCAAAAAACAAUUUAG
rnacentral:rRNA from 1 species